AGAACGAACGCUGGCGGCAUGCCUAAUACAUGCAAGUCGAACGAACACUUCGGUGUUAGUGGCGCACGGGUGCGUAACGCGUGGGAAUCUGCCCUUGGGUUCGGAAUAACAGUUGGAAACGACUGCUAAUACCGGAUGAUGACGAAAGUCCAAAGAUUUAUCGCCCAGGGAUGAGCCCGCGUAGGAUUAGCUAGUUGGUGAGGUAAAGGCUCACCAAGGCGACGAUCCUUAGCUGGUCUGAGAGGAUGAUCAGCCACACUGGGACUGAGACACGGCCCAGACUCCUACGGGAGGCAGCAGUAGGGAAUAUUGGACAAUGGGCGCAAGCCUGAUCCAGCAAUGCCGCGUGAGUGAUGAAGGCCUUAGGGUUGUAAAGCUCUUUACCCGAGAUGAUAAUGACAGUAUCGGAGAAUAAGCCCCGGACUAACUCCGUGCCAGUACGCCGC
rnacentral:rRNA from 1 species